rnacentral:rRNA from 1 species
GAUGAACGCUGGCGGCGUGCCUAAUACAUGCAAGUCGAGCGAACGGACGAGAAGCUUGCUUUUCUGAUGUUAGCGGCGGACGGGUGAGUAACACGUGGAUAACCUACCUAUAAGACUGGGAUAACUUCGGGAAACCGGAGCUAAUACCGGAUAAUAUUUUGAACCGCAUGGUUCAAAGGUGAAAGACGGUCUUGCUGUCACUUAUAGAUGGAUCCGCGCUGCAUUAGCUAGUUGGUAAGGUAACGGCUUACCAAGGCAACGAUGCAUAGCCGACCUGAGAGGGUGAUCGGCCACACUGGAACUGAGACACGGUCCAGACUCCUACGGGAGGCAGCAGUAGGGAAUCUUCCGCAAUGGGCGAAAGCCUGACGGAGCAACGCCGCGUGAGUGAUGAAGGUCUUCGGAUCGUAAAACUCUGUUAUUAGGGAAGAACAUAUGUGUAAGUAACUGUGCACAUCUUGACGGUACCUAAUCAGAAAGCCACGGCUAACUACGUG